rnacentral:rRNA from 1 species
GCGAAGAACCUUACCAGGUCUUGACAUCCUCUGACAAUCCUAGAGAUAGGACGUCCCCUUCGGGGGCAGAGUGACAGGUGGUGCAUGGUUGUCGUCAGCUCGUGUCGUGAGAUGUUGGGUUAAGUCCCGCAACGAGCGCAACCCUUGAUCUUAGUUGCCAGCAUUCAGUUGGGCACUCUAAGGUGACUGCCGGUGACCAACCGGAGGAAGGUGGGGAUGACGUCAAAUCAUCAUGCCCCUUAUGACCUGGGCUACACACGUGCUACAAUGGGCAGAACAAAGGGCAGCGAAACCGCGAGGUUAAGCCAAUCCCACAAAUCUGUUCUCAGUUCGGAUCGCAGUCUGCAACUCGACUGCGUGAAGCUGGAAUCGCUAGUAAUCGCGGAUCAGCAUGCCGCGGUGAAUACGUUCCCGGGCCUUGUACACACCGCCCGUCACACCACGAGAGUUUGUAACACCCGAAGUCGGUGAGGUAACCUUUUUGGAGCCAGCCGCCGAAGGUGGGACAGAUGAUUGGGGUGAAGUCGUAACAAGGUAGCCGUAUCGGAAGGUGCGGCUGG